AUUACCGACAUCUAUAAUCCUGACAUUUACUCUCAAAUUUUGAGAGCACAAAAAAUUAUCUGUUAUUUCAAUUCUCUUUGCCGAUGUCUAUUUUUGUUCCAUUUGUCAACUACUUCAUUUGUUUAUUAUUGUUGUUGAUUGUAGUGUAGAACAUUGGACUGGAUAAUGUUGAAAACAGCAGUUGCCUCCAGGUCACUCCAAUUUGGUCAAAAAAUUUCAUCAAGAGGUUAUGUUCAACAGCGUCAAAGCAGACUGUUCAACAUUGGCAAUAUCAUCAACAGAAAUCGUGGAUAUGAAAAAAAGGAAUUAUUGGGUUUUUUCUAUUUGUUAUACUU
rnacentral:sRNA from 1 species